CUUCGGCCUGCCGGCGAGUGGCGAACGGGUGAGUAAUGCAUCGGAACGUGCCCAGUCAUGGGGGAUAACUACGCGAAAGCGUAGCUAAUACCGCAUACGCCCUGAGGGGGAAAGUGGGGGAUCUUCGGACCUCACGUGAUUGGAGCGGCCGAUGUCAGAUUAGCUAGUUGGUGAGGUAAAGGCUCACCAAGGCGACGAUCUGUAGCGGGUCUGAGAGGAUGAUCCGCCACACUGGGACUGAGACACGGCCCAGACUCCUACGGGAGGCAGCAGUGGGGAAUUUUGGACAAUGGGCGCAAGCCUGAUCCAGCCAUGCCGCGUGAGUGAAGAAGGCCUUCGGGUUGUAAAGCUCUUUCGCAAGGGAAGAAAACGUGUGGGCUAAUAUCCUGCGCGGAUGACGGUACCUUGACAAGAAGCACCGGCUAACUACGUGCCAGCAGCCGCGGUAAUACGUAGGGUGCGAGCGUUAAUCGG
rnacentral:rRNA from 1 species